rnacentral:misc_RNA from 1 species
GAAGAGAUUUCUUGAGAAGCAUAAAAAGUCACGUACAGUAUUACUUGUUAUUGUUUUAUUGGCUGCUUGUAUGGUCAUAGGCGAUGGUGUUCUGACACCUGCAAUGUCAGUCAUAUCAUCGAUGUCAGGGAUACAGGCUGCUGCAGAUCGCCUAACUCAUGAUGAAGUGGUGUUUCUUUCUUGCAUAAUAUUGGUUGGCCUGUUCGCUUUACAGCAUUCUGGAACCCACAGGGUUGGAUUUUUGUUUGCACCAAUCGUGCUCAUCU